rnacentral:rRNA from 1 species
UCUCGGCAAAUUAUCCUCAUAAGUUCGACAAGAAGAGGAACCAUGAACUUUUGUAAAUUAAAGUCUCCUUUUAAUUUAUGUAUAUGGUGGCACAUAAUCGGAAGCCCCGACUGUUUACUAAAAACACAACUAUCUGCAAUUAUGAAAAUAAUAGUAUAGGUAGUGAGAUUUGCCCAAUGCCAUAUUAAUAAGUAAUAAUAAUAGGUAACUGUUUCUUUACAAAAAAUUGGUUAAUAGCGGUCUUAACUAUGAGGAUCCUAAGGUAGCAAAAUAAAUUGGCCAUUAAAUGUGGUCCAGUAUCAAUAAUUUAACGAUGGCUUCACUGUCUCUACAACUUGCUCAGUGAAAUUGAAUUACCCGUGCAGAUGCGGGUUACCUCAAAGAGGACGGGAAGACCCUAUGCAGCUUCUACUGA